ACUCUCCUGUCACAGACACAAUGACGCAGCUAUCUCUGCUUUUGGCUUGGAAACUGUCUGUAUAUUUAGCACCUCAUUUAAAAUUAGAGCUCAGCACAUGGGGAAUAAAUUUAGCCGGCAGUUUAAAUAGAUAUCUGCUGAGUCAUGCAAAAUUAGACUCGGCACACUGUACUGUAUGGCCAUGAAGACCACGCAGAUGUAAGAGUAGAACUUUCUGACCAAGCUUUUAAUUUGUCGCAUGUUCAGAACCGAUCCUCGUUUCUCGUACAUCUGUCAAAAGGUCACGGCCUGUCACAUGUCUCUCCACGGUGAAGAAUGCCAACACGCUUGAGCGUUUUUGUGGCAAACCGAUUAGUUCUCGCUUGCUUGCAUUGACAUGGGCCACAUAAUGAAAUGGAUUGUGUGCAGAUAAUAUGCAUAACAGCUGAUACUUGAUACAGUUAGAACUGUUUACACUCCACAAUGGAGACACAAGGAGCAAAUUUGCCACAGCAGAAAAAGUUUGAUCGCAUCUGUGCACAACGUUGCGCAUGAGAGUGUAAACAGAAGAAAAAAAACCUUUAAAUGAGGAGGAUUUUCUUUCUGAGGGGUAAAACUAUGUCUCUCAGAUGUUUGUUUUAUAUAUAUAUUUUUAUUAAUAUUGUUGGCAAACGGCUUAAAAUAGCGGCGUUGAAUAACAGAUGGCAUUAAUAUUUCUUUUAUAAAUAUCAAUGAGGAGUAAAUCCUGUGCUUUCUGCGUAUGGGAAUAUAGAAUAGAAUAAAGAGACUGGAAUAGAUAUAGUAGCACUGUAUCAUGUUUGCAUGGGUAAUGGAACCUCGUCAAAAGAAAAGGAAAAAAAAAACACACACAGUACAAACUUAAACUAAAUGUUUGUGACAGGAAAUAAUCCCUUUGCUUCUGCCCACAAAAUGAAUACAUAAUGAAUGACCGAUGACAGUGAGGCACACGUGGCACAGGCUGACCUGCAUUUCUAAAAAUGACAACUGGGUCACGAUUUGUCAAAUAUGGCAGAGAUACACCACCUUACAGCAACAUAAAAGUAUCAGGCCAAUACAUAAAACAAAAAAACGGCUUGAUAAUUGAUACUUGUACAACAAAAGUAACAAAUACAGAGUUCAGUCAUUUCAGUAUUAUUUUAUGUGAGCCAGGUGUGAAGCAGGACAGAGCCGCGAGCUCUCAGCCUCAGUAGAUUAAAUGUUAAUCCGAGCGAAUCAACUGGUUAAUUCCAAGGUCAUCAGAAAGUGGGAGGGACCCGGUUCUCCGCCAGUGCUGGCUAACACGGAGCGAAUGUUUGAUUUAUCUGCACGGCCUUCAGAAUGUACACUUCAACUGGAUCGCGUCAUGCUUCAUGUACUAUAUUUGACGACUGUAUUUUAUCGUUUUACAGACUUUAUGUGGUCGUGUGGUUUGUACGCGCCAUAACAUACAAAGCACUAUAAUAUAGUCUAUAUUAUCUAUUUAUGUGUUUAACACAAAAUUGUUUUUACUUUUUUAAUUAAACAUGUGUUUCCCUCUAGUACAUAUGCUCUGCCACAGGCAGUUAAAAAAAAAUAUGUUUUCCUGAUACAAGUGACCACAAGCCACUGUAAUUGUUCCUUGAAUUCAGAUGAAAACCGGUCCAGAAACCAUUAUCUAUACUACAAACACAAGGUUGGGAAUCAUGGAAAUGCUAUGAAAAUGCUGCCUGUUAACCUCACUUUAAAAACAAGUAUUUGAAAAAUGCCAAACAAUUAUUGAAGCAUCCGUAAAGGUCAUGCAGUAAUCUGUCUUCAGCAAGCCUGAUUCCUGAGCCCUUAGUUUUUUUUGUCAUUUACACCACUGGUGACGGAGGAGUAGCUCGGACUCAGGCUGCAAAUAUGUGUGGCUAACCUGCAGCGCAUUCCUCAGCUGUCACAUUACAGCAUGGGUUAUACUGGGUGUGGUGAAGAGCAGCACAGCUCUUUCGCUCGGCGUCUUUACUGCUAGGCCUGAAGCGGACGAGAGAAAGGACACAAGCUGUGAGGGUGAGACACACACACAGAGAGAGACAGAGGUUGUUUGUUAGCACGGACGGGUCUGGGAGUGUGUGUGUGUAUCUGGGUUUGCGCGUGUUGCAUGUGCAUGCAUGUCCUUUCCCCCACUUGUACGAUUCGAGGUUUGCUGGUAGGUAACCACCUCUCCUUCAGGCGAAAUUGGAGUCGGCUAACGCGGGAGGACGUAAUGCAACGUGACAGUUAGGCCGGUCUGCCCAACUGUCUUUGCACACACAGUCUAAAGCGCCCGGGCAACUACAGCUCGAGCAUCUCUCAAGAUAACACAGCAAGAGGAGAAUCCUCUGCGAGCCUGGUCAACCGCGAUCACUUCUCCUCUCGUGACGUACAAAAUUGCAUUCGUGAAACGACUGUCAUGUGCAAUCGCUGACACUGUCGUGCUGAAAAUGUACACUUAAAAAGAGCUGAACCAUGAACAAUGUCAUUACUGUGUAUGUGUGUGGCCUGAACUCCACAGCUCCACAUCAGCCCCCUGUGAGCUGUUGUUCUACAAACUAAGAAAAUUAGGAUUAAAAGAUAGAUUGUUUGAAGAACAAAUUAUAUGUAGCAGCUGCAAUUGCAAUUUGAUUUGCAACACAGUUUCACAGAUGUGUAGUCGCUUUAAAAUGUUCGUAUCACCACGUGACUGCGCGUGUUUCCUAUUGCGAGGAUGAGAACACGGAGAUAUUGUUCCCUGAAUGUAUGCAUGCACUGCUUGACAUUGUGAUUUUGACAUUUGAAGAUGUGCAUGAAACGUCAUUCUGAUUUUCUCGCUCUCAUUCUCUCUGCCUGUAACGUUCUCCUGGUUCUUCUCUCCCUCCUUGUACAACCUGUGCAGGCUUGUGAAAGAAAGUGUGAUGCACUGUAUGACAGCAGCAGCAGUGGAUAAGGGUCAGAGAGCGGCAGGUGGGCGACCAGGGCCCAGCGGGGAUCAUCUUUCCUCCUCAUCUGCAGCACACCAGCCUGCUACAGUAAGACGGACAAAAUGGAGACAUUUUUGAACGAGCAUGAGCUGUGACAGGAUGGCGAGACGUCUGAAAGGCCAUGAGAGAAACUCCUACGUUUUUCCACAAAAGUUCACAAAAUGUCCUCGAUCAAGGUUGAGUCAUGCUGCAGAGAGUUUUCAUACGGCCAUUCUAAACCCUGAAUGAUAAAAGAAUGUGAUUAAAUUACAGAACUGGUUUAAAUCAGAUAAAACAACAACAACACUCCUCUAUCUUUGAGAAGCUUUAAAAGAGCUUUAUUAUCAGUUGUUUUCAGUAUUGUCAUUAUUAUUGUUAGAGACACGCCGUCAAUAAAUACUUUAUAGUGAUAAAAGAA